UACGGAGGUGGCAAGCGUUGCUCGGAAUCACUGGGCGUAAAGGGCGCGUAGGCGGGGAGGUAAGUCGGGUGUGAAAUCCCUCGGCCCAACCGAGGAACUGCGCCCGAGACUGCUUCUCUUGAGUCCCGGAGAGGAAGAUGGAAUUCCCGGUGUAGCGGUGAAAUGUGUAGAGAUCGGGAGGAACACCGGUGGCGAAGGCGGUCGACUGGCCAGUACUGACGCUGAGGCGCGACAGCGUGGGGAGCAAACAGG
rnacentral:rRNA from 1 species